AAAAGGAAGGAAUUUAAUACAGAAUCUGUCGAAAAUUUUCAAAUCAAAAGUGAAAAUUUUUUGAUUUUGUUUUAAUUUCUUCAGAAACCUGAUGUGAGACUCUCUCGAGGCAGUAUUGACAGGGAGGAUGGAAGUCUUCAGGGUCCGAUUGGAAACCAACAUAUAUAUCAGCCUGUGGGUAAACCAGAUCCUGCAGCUCCACCAAAGAAACCGCCUCGCCCUGGAGCUCCCGGUCAUCUGGGAAGCCUUGCCAGCCUCAGCAGCCCUGCUGACAGCUACAACGAGGGUGUCAAGCUUCAGCCCCAGGAAAUCAGUCCCCCUCCUACUGCCAACCUGGACCGGUCGAAUGAUAAGGUGUACGAGAAUGUGACGGGCCUGGUGAAAGCUGUCAUCGAGAUGUCCAGUAAAAUCCAGCCAGCCCCACCAGAGGAGUAUGUCCC
rnacentral:sRNA from 1 species